rnacentral:rRNA from 1 species
AGCAGCCGCGGUAAUUCCAGCUCCAAUAGCGUAUAUUAAAGUUGUUGCAGUUAAAAAGCUCGUAGUUGAAUUUCGGGGUUAGUAGGUUGGUCAUGCCUCUGGUAUGUACUGAUCUCACUGAUUCCUCCCUCUUGACGAACUGUAAUGUCAUUAAUUUGGUGUUGCAGGAAAUCAGGACUGUUACUUUGAAAAAAUUAGAGUGUUUAAAGCAGGCUUAGGCUUGAAUACAUUAGCAUGGAAUAAUGAAAUAGGACGUUUGAACCUAUUUUGUUGGUUUCUAGGAUCGACGUAAUGAUUAAUAGGGAUAGUUGGGGGCAUUAGUAUUCAAUUGUCAGAGGUGAAAUUCUUGGAUUUAUUGAAGACUAACUACUGCGAAAGCAUUUGCCAAGGAUGUUUUCAUUAAUCAAGAACGAAAGUUAGGGGAUCGAAGACGAUCAGAUACCGUCGUAGUCUUAACCAUAAACUAUGCCGACUAGGGAUCGGAUGAUGUUAAUUUUUAAUGACUCAUUCGGCGCCUUAC